AGGACGAACGCUGGCGGCGUGCUUAACACAUGCAAGUCGAGCGGUAAGGCCUUUCGGGGUACACGAGCGGCGAACGGGUGAGUAACACGUGGGUGAUCUGCCCUGCACUCUGGGAUAAGCCUGGGAAACUGGGUCUAAUACCGGAUAUGACCUGCUCUCGCAGUGGGGGUGGGUGGAAAGAUUUAUCGGUGCAGGGAUGGGCCCGCGGCCUAUCAGCUUGGUUGGUGGGUAAUGGCCUACCAAGGCGACGACGGGUAGCCGACCUGAGAGGGUGACCGGCCACACUGGGACUGAGACACGGCCCAGACUCCUACGGGAGGCAGCAGGUGGGAAUAUUGCACAAGUGGGACGAAAGCCUGAUGCAGCGACGCGCGUGAGGAUGGAAGGCCGUUCGGGUUGUAAACCUC
rnacentral:rRNA from 1 species